CGGGCUCGGCCUGCUCCGCGCCGGCCCCGGCCCCGCGGCCGACGGCGAGGAGGAGGAGGAGGAGAGAGUGCCGCUGGCAGAGCUGUCACUGAUGAACAAGUUGAUCCACACAUCCCUGGUGGAAUCCCAGCAGCACGUGGAGAUCCUGCAGCGGGACCCCAACUCCCCACUCUUUUCCGUCAAGACCUUCGAGGAGCUGCCCCUGAAGAAGGAGCUCUUGCAGGGGGUUUACAUGAUGGGCUUCAACAGACCAUCCAAAAUCCAGGAGCAGGCCCUGCCGCUCAUGCUGGCUUACCCGCCCCAAAACCUGAUUGCCCAGAGCCAGUCAGGGACAGGGAAAACAGCAGCUUUUGUCUUGGCCAUGUUGAGCAGAGCCAGUGCCAGCGAGAAAUAUCCACAGUGCCUCUGCCUGGCUCCCACCUAUGAGCUGGCUCUGCAGAUCGGGCAGGUGGUGCGGACCAUUGGGAAAUUCUGCACUGACAUCAAGGUGAACUAUGCUGUCCGGGGAAACCGAGUUCUGAAGGGCACAGCGCUGGAGGAGCAGAUCAUCAUUGGAACACCGGGCACCACACUGGACUGGUGCUUCAAACAGCGCAUCCUGGACCUGGCAAAGAUCUCCUUGUUCGUGCUGGACGAGGCCGACAUCAUGAUCGACAUGCAGGGCCUCUCCUGUCAGAGCAUCCGCAUCCACAGGGCUCUUCCCAAGAGCUGCCAAGUGCUGCUGUUCUCAGCCACUUACAAGGAACCCGUGCGGGCCUUUGCGGAGCGGAUCAUCCCUGACCCCAUUGUGAUCAAGCUGCGGGAGGAGGAGCUCACCCUCAGCAACAUCAGGCAGUACUUCAUGGUGUGCCAGGGCUUGGACGAGCAGUACAGGGCCCUCUGCAACCUCUACGGCAGCUUCAUCAUCGGUCAGGUCAUGAUCUUCUGCCAGACCCGGAGGCUGGCAGUGUGGCUGGCAGGGAAGAUGAGCCAGGACGGGCACCAGGUGGCCAUCCUGACGGCAGAGCUGACGGUGGUGCAGCGGGCCAGCGUCAUCCAGCGCUUCCGUGAGGGCAAGGAGAAGGUCCUGAUUGCCACCAACGUCUGUGCCAGAGGCAUUGACGUGCAGCAGGUCACCACGGUGGUGAACUUUGGCCUGCCCGUGGAUCUGGACGGCGGGCCGGAUUUUGAGACCUACCUGCACCGCAUUGGGCGGGCAGGGCGCUUCGGGCACCGCGGCAUCGCCUUCAGCGUGGUGCAGAGGGACACCGUGCCGCUCGUGCACAGGAUCGAGGAGUAUUUCCGCAUUUUUUCUGCCUUUCUUUGCACGCCUUUGUCCCAGGGGACCUGGUGCCCCAGCUCAGCCCUGGCUGUGGGAGAGGAGAUGGCAGCUGUGGAAAUCUUUCCUGAGUGGAAAUUGAUUGUCACUUGUUAACAGCAAGAGGAUUUUCAUGGGAUUUGCCAGAUGCCAGGGCUGCACUGAUGGCUUUUUGAAUCCCAGUGCCUGUUUUCCCUGUCAUUUUUAGAGGAAAGAAGGUUAUAAAAGCCUUCUGAUGGGCAGGAAGCGGUGUCCCUUCCUCAUCUCCGGCCUCAGAGCCACUCAGCCCUCUUGGUUCCAUUAAAUAUCCACCUGUCAUUGGGACCUGGAGUGAGCCUGAGGCAGACACCAGGCAGAGAAGACACGAGCCACACAUUCUGGCAAAGAUUGUUGCUGUGGAGUAGAAGCAAUGAGCAGCUGGAGCAACUGUCGUGGAUGAGCCCAACCACAGCCACGGCCAGAAGGAUCCAGUGUGAGGAUGAACUCCCAGCGGCCUGACUUGUGCUUUUCACAUUGUGAUGUUGCAGUUGGAGGAGACCACGAUCAAGCAGCUGGAUCCGUACGACAUGGACGAGCUGGAGAAGCUUGCAGCUGAGUGAGGAGCAG